AGUGGAAUUGCUGAGUCAUAUGGAAACUUAACAUUUUGAGAAACUGCCAAACUAUUUUCCAAUGUGGCUGUAAUAAUUUACAUCCCUAUCAGCGAU
rnacentral:pre_miRNA from 1 species